GUCCUCAAACAUCAGGAUGUAGGAAGACACAAGUAAAAGGAGAAGAAUGCUGCUCAGCUGGGUCGGCGGUCACACUACUUAUUCAAGAAGCUCUUGGAUAUCAUCGGCAUGUAUAAAGCACAGUCAUUCCGGUAUGCACGGAGUCGUUCCUCGAUGGACGUGAUGACCUGGCACCAAAACCGCUUAAUUUGUAUGAAGCUGUGUCUGCAUCGAGGGAAGAACCCAGCACUGAAAUGACACAAAUGAAAGAGGACGUCUUCUCUGCUGGGUGUGCGACACUACUUAUUCUAGGAAUCCUCAAACAUCAGGAUGUAGGAAACUUAUGGUGAGAUGCCAAGAGCCGCCAUGAGGGAUAUGCAACCUGCAGCUUCACCAUGCUUUUGGGAGAUCAUGUACUACGUGAACCUUGAGUAUCUACAAGCCAGCUACUUUAAGUUCUUGAAAGGGUAGUGAUGUCAUUCAAGCCAGAUCACGAGACAAGGUCCUGUACAAACUGUCAAUCUAAAUGUUGCGACAUCCCUGUCAAUUCUUUUGGACUGAAUACAUGCUGUGUUUGAAAUAUAUUAUUCGGAUAACUCCCCAUCAGAGAAUACCUUGUCUGUUAAUGACGGAUGGACAUGCCAUUGACAUGCCGUGCACACUUUGAUGUUUUUUAUUUUAAUGUUUUCUAUGUUUUCCAAUGUUCUUUUUUUAUUUAUGUUCUGUUAUAUGCUGGUUAUGUAAGUACUGUAUGGAAUGUAGUGACUGUAGAGACCAAGACAAAUUUCAACCUGGGGACAAAAAGUUCACACCACUCUGUUAGCGCAGUUAUGGAUACACUGUAAAUUUUGUAAUUAACCAAAAGUACGGUGAGAAGCCUGUUUGUGCAGAUGGACCUGCUGGCGGGCCUGUUUACUCAUAGCUAAAAAGCAACAUAUUAUCUGUGCAAAAGCACAUGGGCUCUUCGAAAAGGGGUUUAAACAUUUUAAUGUGCUGUUUUACAGUGUGCUAUACAAAAGGUAAGGUGAAACUAAUUUUUUGAAAUUCUAUAAUUGUACAGUGUCACUGAAAUCAAAUGGUGCAUUGGUAAAACUGAACCAUUUCCUUUAAUCCCGUUUAGCAGAGCCUAUGUUUGAACUAUACUGUCACCAAUAUUGUAAUGACUGAGUUUUAACCUGUUACUUAAGGCUCUUGGUAAUGUCAUAGCAAUGUUGCUAUGAUGUAGUUGAGUCUUUUCAGUCAUGAGUGAUCAGUCUUGCUGAUAACCCGUCUUUGCAAAGAGGCUACAAAGAUGCAUGUAAAUUCAAUUAAGGUUUUAUUGCUCCAAUGCUAUCAUGUGUUAAUGCUACACUGCUGUGAUUUGCAUCUUUAUAGUAUACUUUUAUGAAAUGUAUUGUUAAUUAUCUUCAUUGUUCAGCAAUAAAAAAAAAGAUCUGAAAUAUUA